rnacentral:rRNA from 1 species
CCAGUAACGGCGAGUGAAAAGGGAAAAGUCCAUCGCUAAAUCGUUUUGCCUCAGGCAUUAUGAGGUGUAGCGUAUAAGUCGUAAACUUUGAUCUUUUGUCUCAAACAAGUCCCCUUGACAGAGGUUCCACAGAAGGUGCAAGUCCUGUACGUUGAGAUAAUUGAUCGAUAUUUGCGUGCUUUAGAGUCGGGUUGUUUGGGAUCGCAGCCCAAAGUCGGUGGUAAACUUCAUCUAAGACUUAAUAUUGCCACGAGACCGAUAGCAAACAAGUACUGUGAAGGAAAGUUGCAAAGCACUUUGAAGAGAGAGUUAAAGAGGACGUGAAACCGGUAAGGUGGAAACGGAUAGAGUCGGCGUAUCAUUCAAUUAUUCAGUUACAUUAUUUUUAUGUUGUGACCUCUGAGCUCCAGAUUGGGACAGAGGGAAUCAGCAUAAUUUUUUGUGGUGCAUUUACUUGAUUGGUGCUUGGGGAUGUUUGAGGCAGAUUUGUUUCCGUCGUUUUGAGGCCAGCUUGCUGGUACCCAAACGGUGUUAGCAUUUUUUGUCUUGGGCAUUUGAGUAUGGCUCACGUGUAUUUAUUGGACAGAUCUGAGUGUAAGUUACGGUCGCAUGCGACACGUGCUUUUCAAUUAGUUCGGUCCAGUUAAUGCUCUCGUACUCGUUCCCCAUGUAAAAGCCGGUCAUCUAUCCGACCCGUCUUGAAACACGGACCAAGGAGUUUAUCGUGUGCGCAAGUUUUUGGGUGUUAAAAACUUAAAAGCGAAAUGAAAGUAAAUGACUCUUUAGAGUCUGAUGUGCGAUCUUGUAAAAAAGUGCAGCAUGGCCCCAUUCUAACUGUUUACAGUAGGGUGGCGGAAGAGCGUACGCGGUGAGACCCGAAAGAUGGUGAACUAUUCCUGAGCAGGACGAAGCCAGAGGAAACUCUGGUGGAAGUCCGAAGCGGUUCUGACGUGCAAAUCGAUCGUCUGACU